GGCUGCGCAGCUACACUGCAGUCGAGCGGCUGGAUUAAAGCUGCUCUAUGAGUUUCGAGUGGGAGAGGUGAGUAUCACGUGGGUAACCUGCCCCUAAGACUGGGAUUACUCCCGGAAACCGGGGCUAAUACCGGAUAACAUUUUGAACAGCAUGGUUCGGAAUUGAAAGGCCGCUUCGGCUGUCACUUAUGGAUGGACCAGCGUCGCAUUAGCUAGUUGGUGAGGUAACGGCUCAACAAUGCAACGAUGCUUAGCCAACCUGAGAGGGUGAUCGGCCACACUGGGACUGAGACACGGCCCCGACUCCUACGGGAGGCAGAAUAAGGGAAUCUUCCGCAAUGGACGAAAGUCUGACGGAGCAACGCCGCGUGAGUGAUGAAGGCUUUCGGGUCUUAAAACUCUGUUGUUAGCGACAACAAUUGCUAGUUGAAUAAUCUGGCACCUUGACGGUACCUAACCGAAAGCCACGGCUAACUACGUGCCAGCAGCCGCGGUAAUACGUAGGUGGCAAGCGUUAUCCGGAAUUAUUGGGCGUAAAGCGCGCGCAGGUGGUUUCUUAAGUCUGAUGUGAAAGCCCACGGCUCAACCGUGGAGGGUCAUUGGAAACUGGGAGACUUGAGUGCAGAAGAGGAAAGUGGAAUUCCAUGUGUAGCGGUGAAAUGCGUAGAGAUAUGGAGGAACACCAGUGGCGAAGGCGACUUUCUGGUCUGUAACUGACACUGAGGCGCGAAAGCGUGGGGAGCAAACAGGAUUAGAUACCCUGGUAGUCCACGCCGUAAACGAUGAGUGCUAAGUGUUAGAGGGUUUCCGCCCUUUAGUGCUGAAGUUAACGCAUUAAGCACUCCGCCUGGGGAGUACGGCCGCAGGCUGAACUCAAGGAAUUGACGGGGCCCGCACAGCGGUGGAGCAUGUGGUUUAAUUCGAAGCAACGCGAGAACCUUACACGUCUUGACAUCCUCUGACACCCUAGAGAUAUGGCUUCUCCUUCAGGAGCAGAGUGACAGGUGUGCAUGGUUGUCGUCGCUCUGUCGUGAAAUGUUGGAUAAGAUCCCGCCACCGACGCACCCUGAUCUACUGCCAUCAUUACUUGGGCACUCUACGUGACUGCCGUGACGACCGGAAGAGUGCGAGACGUCGUCUCAUGCCCGUAGUACCUGGCUCACACGUGCUCAAUGGACGUACAAGAAAU
rnacentral:rRNA from 1 species